GGGGAAUGCUGUGGAGGAGAGACAGGCAGACUGUGGUCCAUCGUGUGUGCUCCCAGUGCGUUAAUACACAGACAGUCCUUUUUAAGUGCAACCAGAGGAAUAAUGUGAUUGAGAGGAAGAGUGGCCCCAUACAUUGCUUGACCUGGAGCCUACCAAAGUCUAAGGUCUCAGGUGUCUCCAGAAGAACACAUCCCAAUGAAGACCCCAGUCAUAGUCAUCAACUUGACAGCUCAGCCUGUUACUUGAACUGUGUUCUUAGAGCCAAGUGUAACUGAGGUGUUUCCACACAGUCUGUCCCCCUUAGAUCUUGAACUUGCCACCACCUAGUCAACGCAUCGGUUCGGGUAUGGGAGGCACAGCACGAUACCGCUGAGCUAAAUGACCAGUCCCAUAGCUCAGCGCUGCUGGUACUGUAUGAGGCUUCGGGAGGGAGGUUUACUAUCCUUCCACGCCACACUCUGCUAGUUGGCCUCCGUUACACAAGCUCGAAUAAUCCAAGCAGCCAAUCCAACUUCUUCAGCACUGCCUUUGAACACUAUGAAGAACCACUCAGAACCACUGGUCCUAGAACUAAAUGACCACAUUAUACUGUUAAAGGUCCACUGUGUAGGAUGGUGAUCAGAGCAGGUAUUGCACCUAUGCUGCUCAUUGCAACUGUGCUACCUAUUGUCCAUUUUGACUUUUGAAUUUUCAAGAAUUUUACCAAGUAUUUACUAGUAUGUACCAAUAUUUACUAGUAUGACCAAAAUACAGUACAUUAUGCAACUAAAUUCAAGAUGGUGGACAAUGGACUCCUUUCAUGUUUUCAUGAAAAGUGUAAUUUUCCCAGUCAUAAUGAAUACUCAGAAUUUGAUGGUGGUAAGUAUUCUGAAAAAGGUUACAUUUGUGAAUGGCCUGAAUGAAUUCUGGAAAGAAACUGCUUAAAAAUAUUACACAGCGUACCUUUUAACAUUUCAUCUGUAGUAACAGAAUGUAGCGUUUCUCAGCUGCGACUCAAACCUAGACCCUCUUUCGUGGUGGUUGUUGUAAUGACACACUAAAAGCGAUAAUAUCUGCAUGAAGCUGCUCAGAAAGUGUCACUGGAUAUAUACCUUGAUAAAAGCAACAGAAUCUUCAAAGAAGAACAGAUACAAAAUGGGAUGCAUGCAUCAUGACAUUCCAACUGGUUGCAGUGAUAUUCACUGGUUGCAGUGAUAUUCAUGGAAAUGUCUAAUGCCUUUUCACCAUUAACUUAAACUUCUUUUAUGUUCUGUUCUUGUCUCUUUGUUAUGAUUGAAUUAGGAGUUUUAAUUUACACAAAAGCUGACACAUUUCCCACCUUUCUGUUAAGACUUGGUCCUAAGUGUUCUGAUUUGUUUGCUGUUUUAUACCUUGUGAAUAUUGAUGAUUUUUUAAUGAUUUUUAAUAAACUGUUUUGAUCAUUACA